AUUGAACGCUGGCGGCAGGCCUAACACAUGCAAGUCGAACGAGAGGCGGACGGGUGAGUAAUUUCUUGGCAACUGCCUGAUGUAGGGGGAUAACUACUGUAAACGGUAGCUAAUACCGCAUACCAUCCGAUGGGCCCAGAUGGGAUUAGCUAGUUGGGGGGGUAACGGCUCACCAAGGCGACGAGCCCUAGCAGGUCUGAGAGGAUGACCAGCCACACUGGAACUGAGACACGGUCCAGACUCCUACGGGAGGCAGCAGUGGGGAAUAUUCCACAAUGGGCGCAAGCCUGAUGCAGCAAUGCCGCGUGUAUGAAGAAGGCCUUCGGGUUGUAAAGUACUUUUGGCGGGGAGGCGUUACCCAACGAAGAAGCCCCGGCUAACUCCGUGCCAGCAGCCGCGGUAAUAC
rnacentral:rRNA from 1 species